AUUGAACGCUGGCGGUAUGCUUUACACAUGCAAGUCGAACGGCAGCACGGGCUUCGGCCUGGUGGCGAGUGGCGAACGGGUGAGUAAUAUAUCGGAACGUACCCAGAAGUGGGGGAUAACGUAGCGAAAGUUACGCUAAUACCGCAUACGAUCUAUGGAUGAAAGCAGGGGACCGCAAGGCCUUGUGCUCCCGGAGCGGCCGAUAUCUGAUUAGCUAGUUGGUGAGGUAAAGGCUCACCAAGGCGACGAUCAGUAGCUGGUCUGAGAGGACGACCAGCCACACUGGAACUGAGACACGGUCCAGACUCCUACGGGAGGCAGCAGUGGGGAAUUUUGGACAAUGGGCGCAAGCCUGAUCCAGCAAUGCCGCGUGAGUGAAGAAGGCCUUCGGGUAGUAAAGCUCUUUUGUCAGGGAAGAAACGGUAGAGGCUAAUAUCCUUUGCUAAUGACGGUACCUGAAGAAUAAGCACCGGCUAACUACGUG
rnacentral:rRNA from 1 species